UACAGAGGGUGCGAGCGUUAAUCGGAGUUACUGGGCGUAAAGGGCGUGCAGGCGGUGCGGUAAGUUUAGCGUGACAGUCUCCGGCUUAACUGGAGAAGGCCGCUGAAAACUGCUGGACUUGAGGGCCAGAGAGGGACAUAGAAUUCCGGGUGGAGUGGUGAAAUGCGUAGAUAUCGGGAGGAAUCAAGCCGGUAGGCAAGGCGGGUCCUGCUGGGACGUACUGACGCUGAGGACGACGAAGCUGGGGAGCGAACAGGAUUAGAACCUCCUAGUCA
rnacentral:rRNA from 1 species